rnacentral:rRNA from 1 species
UACAGAGGGGGCAAGCGUUAUUCGGAAUUAUUGGGCGUAAAGGGCGCGUAGGCGGCCUGGCAAGUGGAAGGUGAAAUCCCUCGGCUUAACCGAGGAACUGCCCUCCAAACUGCUUGGCUUGAGUCCGGGAGAGGUGAGUGGAAUUCCCAGUGUAGCGGUGAAAUGCGUAGAUAUCGGAAGGAACACCUGUGGCGAAAGCGGCGCACUGGACCAAAACUGACGCUGAGGCGCGAGAGCUAGGGGAGCAAACAGG